rnacentral:rRNA from 1 species
CACGUAGGGUGCGAGCGUUGUCCGGAAUUAUUGGGCGUAAAGAGCUUGUAGGCGGUUUGUCGCGUCUGCUGUGAAAUUUCGGGGCUCAACCCCGAACUUGCAGUGGGUACGGGCAGACUAGAGUGUGGUAGGGGAGACUGGAAUUCCUGGUGUAGCGGUGAAAUGCGCAGAUAUCAGGAGGAACACCGAUGGCGAAGGCAGGUCUCUGGGCCAUAACUGACGCUGAGAAGCGAAAGCAUGGGGAGCGAACAGG